AGUGAACGCUGGCGGUAGGCCUAACACAUGCAAGUCGAACGGCAGCACAGUAAGAGCUUGCUCUUACGGGUGGCGAGUGGCGGACGGGUGAGGAAUACAUCGGAAUCUACUUUUUCGUGGGGGAUAACGUAGGGAAACUUACGCUAAUACCGCAUACGACCUACGGGUGAAAGCAGGGGAUCUUCGGACCUUGCGCGAUUGAAUGAGCCGAUGUCGGAUUAGCUAGUUGGCGGGGUAAAGGCCCACCAAGGCGACGAUCCGUAGCUGGUCUGAGAGGAUGAUCAGCCACACUGGAACUGAGACACGGUCCAGACUCCUACGGGAGGCAGCAGUGGGGAAUAUUGGACAAUGGGCGCAAGCCUGAUCCAGCCAUACCGCGUGGGUGAAGAAGGCCUUCGGGUUGUAAAGCCCUUUUGUUGGGAAAGAAAAGCAGCAGGUUAAUACCCCGCUGUUCGGACGGUACCCAAAGAAUAGCACCGGCUAACUUCGUG
rnacentral:rRNA from 1 species